rnacentral:rRNA from 1 species
GUUAGGAAUAUUGGACAAUGGGCGCAAGCCUGAUCCAGCCAUGCCGCGUGAGUGAUGAAGGCCUUCGGGUUGUAAAGCUCUUUAGUCCACGAAUAUAAUGACUGUAGUGGAAGAAUAAGCCCCGGCUAACUUCGUGCCAGCAGCCGCGGUAAUACGAAGGGGGCGAGCGUUAUUCGGAAUCACUGGGCGUAAAGCGUGCGUAGGCUGUUUUGUAAGUCAGAAGUGAAAGCCCAGGGCUUAACCCUGGAAUUGCUUUUGAAACUACAAGACUCGAAUUCGUGAGAGGAUAGCGGAAUUGUCAGUGUAGCAGUGAAAUGCGUAGAUAUUGACAGGAACACCAGUGGCGCAAGCGGCUAUCUGGACCGAUAUUGACGCUGAGGCACGAAAGCGUGGGGAGCAAACAGGAUUAGAUACCCCUGUAGUCC